GUCUUACACUUGAUCUCUGAAUUCAGGUAAGUUCUUAUGUGGACAGUAUGAAUCACUGAUGCA
rfam:Triticum aestivum genome assembly, contig: Triticum_aestivum_CS42_TGACv1_scaffold_193628_3AL